AGCCUUCCUCCUUUUUCCUUAUUCUUUUAUUUUGGUCACAUAAACCAAAACCCAUUUGCAUUAUCUACUCAUUUGAAAGAACUCAAACAAAGUAGCCCAUGUCUUCUUCUUUGUCUCGCAAUUUUUUCUCUGAAAAUGGCUAAUCAAUGUUGAAAUUCUUCAACAAACAAUCAUUCAUCUUCUACAUUUGAGUUUCGUAAGCCUUCGAUUUUGAGGGAACAAGACAGCAGCACAUGAUAUGUUUUAUGACUCAAAUGAAUACAACAACACAACCCCUGGUUUGGCUCGACAACAACGGGUUUCUUGCCUUCUCUUGAUUCGAAAAAUCAGCAAUUGUUUUUGGUCUCUAGUUACUAAAAAUCUAUAGAGAUCGGUACCAAUCGGGAACGAUAAAUGAAGAACUGAUUAGAGUAUGCGUGGAAGAUAUGUUGGAUUAGUGUAUGUAUUGGAGUUAUAGUGUCCGUAUUGGGCUUUAGUGUGUUGUAGAUUUGAUUAUGUUGACAAUUAUGGACUUUGAUUUAGAUGUUUGGUUUUGAGAUUAGUUAUUACAAUUAAGUUUAGGUCUUGUGAUAUUUUUUACGAGUAAUUAUUUGAGAUAUGAGUUCUUUGGGUUAGUAAAUCCCGUAAUGACCUGUCUUAUUUGGUCAACCGAUAAGUCAAGUUGUUACAUUUGCAGCCUUUGAAAGAAGGAAAAUAAUGGCACAUAAUCAAUUAGAGGAAGAACUCCAAAGGGGAUAUAAUCAAUUAACGACGGAUAAUUACAAUGCAUAUAUGCGACAGCCGACAAAUAGCACAAGAAAGAAAACAAUUUGUGUUAAGUUUCAAUCACAUUUUAAUCAAUAGCACAAGAUAGAUACAACCAAGGCUUAGAGCAGAUGAGGUGUUCUAUCAAAUAGGUGCAGCUGAAGCUCAGUGCAGAUGAGCUAUGCUAUCCUGUUUACACCUACAACUACAACCAAGUCCAAGCUUCCAAUUCACACAAAAACAAUUACAUCAGAGUAUUUUGUUCUCAUGUUUGCAGAUGUCAUGAGGAACACGUGCUUAUAGUUAGUUGUGCAAUAGGAAGGUUGUUAGUCUAAUCAGAUUGUAUAAGUUGUUAGCAAAGUUGUUAGGAGGUAGUUAUAAGUGUAACUAAGUCUUGUAUUGAAGGGGUCUGUCUAUAUAUAGACUUUCCUUACCUAUUGUAAAGAUUAAUCUUUCUGUACUGAAUAAAAUGAAUUUCUUCUUGAUCUUCCGAUUCUCAUUCUUUUCACAGAAAUUUAAUAUGGUAUCAGAGCUUUUAUGCUCAUCCAAGAAUCGAUCCAUUUUCCUUUCCCUUUAUUCAUCUCUUCUGAGUAACACAAAGGCAAUAUCAAUAGUUUGUUUUGCUAUAUGCACCUGUUUUUUUUCUAUUCUGUAAAGAAAAGAGAUGAUUAAUUAAAGCAGUAACUCACAAAACACAUAGAUUGUUAACAUUGUACUUUCUCCAUCUGUGUACUUUCUCCAUCCCUUUGACAGUAGCCAAAAGAUUGUUAACAUUGUGUUUUCUGAAAGGGGCUUUUCAAAUUGGAAAAGAGUCAUAACUAUUGCUCUUUCAAGAAGAAACAAAUUAGGGUUUGUCGAUGGCACCCUAAGUAGACCAAGUAGUAACUUAGCAGCAAGAACAUGGGAUAGAGUAGACAAAGUUGUUAUAGGAUGGAUUAUAGGGGUUCUUAAAUAUUCAAUUGGAAACAGCAUUUGAUCAUUAAAGACUUCUAAAGAAAUAUGGGAUGAACUAGGAGAAAGAUAAGGUCAGAGUUUCAAAUGCACAAAUGUUAUCUGUAAAAGAAGACUUAAAUGCACUGGUUCAGACACCAAAAAUGAGUACAUUAGAAUUCUUUACCAAAAUCAAAACCCUAUAGGAUGAGUUUAAUGGAUUAAACCCUAUUCCUAAAUGUACUUGCACUACUGCUAGGUAACUAAUCGUGAUGUGGCCAAGAAAAUGUUUAAGAUGCAACAGAAUAACAAAGUUAUUAGUUUUCUCAUGAAGCUUGACAAGAGGUAUAAGCAAGUCAAGAGUAACAUGCUUAGGAUGCCAGACUUACCCACAACAACACAAGCCUAUAGAAUUAUAUUACAAGAGGAAAGAUCACUUGCAAUUCAGCACUAGUGGAGGUAGUCUAAAUGAGACUAUGGCAUGUAGGGAAGACAAAAGGAAAUAUUAUGAAAGAGGGAACAACAAAACCAGUACUCAGAAUGUCACAAAAACAAGAAACUAAAUCUUUGGUGUGAUCAUUGCAAGAUUAAAGGUCACAUAAAAGAGAAAUACUAGAAGAUCAUUACUUACCUUGUAAACCAUACGUCUAGUACUUGAAAAAGGAAAAAUCACAAAAUUAGUACACAUGCAAAUGCAGAUAGCGCACAAGAAGAAACAAAAGGAUAUGUUAGUGCUAAAUUUACUCAUGAUCAGUACCAACAGUUCCUAGACAUAAUGAGCAAAGAUGAGCCUAAAGCUAGUAUAACUGAUGCUUAUUCUAGUCAACUAACAAGUACUUUAUGUUUAUUAGCACAUAGUAUAAACUUAGGAUUAUAGAUAGUGGAACUUCAGACCAUAUGUGUCAUGACAUUCACCAAUUUACUAACUAUAGUUUUAUUGAGAAAGGAAAUAUGAAGUAACAAUACCUGAUGGCACAAGAUUGAAAAUAAGAUAUAAAGGCACAGUCAUAUUGCAUAAUGGAAUAACCUUACAUAAUAUCUAGUUUUUACCAAAAUUCAAGUAUAAUCUCAUAUUGGUUAGUAAAUUGUCAUCAUAUAUAAAUUGCAAAAUUUUCUUUACUCUACAUGGAUGUUAUAUUGAGGAAACCUUGAUGAAGAAGCCUUGGCUUCUUGGUGAAGAACAAAGUGGUUUAUAUGUCAUACAAAGCAAAGAUGCUAAGCCAAAAUUUGUCAUCAAUCCAAGUAGCUCAAGCAUGACAACAAACAAUAAUACUCUCCAUAAUAAGGCUAAGUUAUGGCAUCUCAAAAUUGGACAUAUGCCCAUGCAAAGGCUAGAGUGCAUCAUUCCAGAAUUGAUGAAUAAUCUGGUCAAGAAUCAAGUAUUCUGCACUAUAUGUCCUCUUCCAAAACAAAGAAGAAGCACAUAUCCUUUGUCUUUGAGCAGAACAAAACACCCUCUGGAACUUUUGCAUCUAGAUAUAUGGGGGCCAUUUAAGCCCCCUCUAGAUCAAAUUAUAAGAUGUUCAUCACAAUUGUAGAUGACUUUAGUAGAAUGUGUUGGAUUUUUUUAAUGACGAACAAAUCUGAGUAUUGAAAAAUCUUUAUACAGUUUGUGAAACUUAUUAAAAAUCAAAUGUCCCUCAAAGUGAAAGUUGUGAGAUCAGACAAUGCAAGAGAAUUAACUAAACGGAAAGCUCUGAACUUCUACCUUAAUUAUGGUAUAAAAUAGCAAAUUAGCUGCACAGACACUCCUCAACAGAAUGGGUAAUGGAAAGAAAACACAACCACAUUUAGAAACAACAGUGCUUAUUCUUUCAGUCAAAUCUCCUUAUGAAAUUUUGGGGGAACUGCAUUCAAUGUGCAGUUGAUUUGAUAAAUAGGAUGCCUCUAAGUGUCCUAAAAGACAUUACACCAUGUGAAAAAUUUCAUGGUACCGAACCAGAUUUAACACACCUAAAGGUGUUUGGUUGUUUGUGUUUUGUCAGCACAUUAAAGUAAGGUAGACACAAAUUUUCUAAGAGAGUACAAAAGUGUGUGUUCCUUGGUUAUUCAUCAAAUAAAAAAAGGAUAUAAGGUAUAUAAUAUUGAAAGAAACAUUGAAAUAAUAUCAAAGGAUGUUGUGUUUCAUGAAAUACUGUUUCCUUAUCAGUUAUUGAAAUCUCAGAACAACACUAAUGAGAUCAGAACAUUCUUUUUACCUGAACAUCCUGAAACAGCAAAUUCCAACACACAAAACAACAGUGUGUAUGAUUCUGAUUAUUCGCAAGAAUAUACUUAUGAUACUUCCACCAAUUUAGACAUUGAUGUUGCAUCAAAACAAAAAAAAUACAAACAAAAACAAUGCAAUCAAGAAUUAUGAAAACUCACCACCUCAUCAAAGAAGGUCUGAAAGAAUCUCUUAAACCACCUAAAUAUUUAGAGGACUAUCAUUGCAAUGCUACUAAGCAUUAGUGUGGCCUUGUUCAAUACAAAGACAUACAUUGUGCUACUAACACAAUAACAUCAAAAUCUGAAUUCUUUGAGCCAAGAUACUUUAAAGAAGCUAUUAAUAUUCCUCACUGGAAGAAAGCUAUGGACAAGGAAAUACAAGCCUUAGAAAGCAACCAAACUUGGGACAUAGUUUCUUUACCCAUAGGCAAAAAGGCCAUAGGGUGCAAAUGGAUCUUCAAAGUCAAACAAAAAGCUAUUGGCACCAUAGAAAGGUACAAGGAAAGGUUGGUGGCUAAAGAAUAUAACCAAAAAUAUGGCAUAGACUAUGAUGAGACAUUUUCGCCAGUAGUAAAAAUGUCAACAAUUAGAUGUCUCAUAGCCACAACAGCACAUAAACAUUGAACUUUACACCAAUUGGAUGUAAACAAUGCAUUCUUGCAUGUGGAAUUGAAGGAAAAAGUAUACAUGCAACUACCACAAGGAUAUUCAAGCAUUAAAAAAAAAGUUUGAAAACUCAAAAAGUCUUCGUAUGGCUUGAAACAAGCCUUAAGAUAGUGGUUUGCAAAACUUGUUCAAAAAUUGAUUAAUCAAGGAUAUCAUCAAUCCAAGAAUGAUUACUCACUCUUUACAAAAACGGAGGCAAACAACAUAACCUUUCUAGCCACUUAUGUAGAUGAUAGAAUCUUGACAAGAAAUAAUGCUCAAGAAAUCAGUGAGAUGAAAACAUCUUAAUAAUGUGUUUAGUAUCAAAGACUUAGGUAAAUUACAUUUCUUCCAUGGGAUAGAAGUUAACUACCUACAAGAUGACAUUGUUCUUUCCCAACACAAAUUUACAAAGGAUUUCUUAAAAGAGUAACGGAAGAGCUUUAACUCCUCUUCCUAUUCACAUUAAACUUUCUGCCCUAGAUGAAGAACUCUUAAAAGAUCCUACACCAUACAGAAGCAUGGUAGGCAAGCUUAAUUUUUUGACAAAUACCAAGCCUGACCUACCAUAUGCCAUACAAACUUUAAGUCAAUUCAUGCAAAAGCACAUAGACUCUCACUGGCAAGCUCUUCAGCACACUCUAUCCUAUGUCAAUCACAAAUGUGGACAAGGUAUUUUCCUCAAAGCUUCAAACAAAAUUACCAUCCAAGCCUUUUUAGAUAAUGAUCGGGGGUUAUGUAUUGAUUCUAGAAGGUCUGUACUGGAUAUUUAAUCAUGCUUAGAUAAUCACCUAUAUUAUGGAAAUCUAAGAAGCAAUGGACUAUAACUAGAUCAAGUUCUGAAGCAGAAUAUAGGACAAUGGCCUCUACUACUGCAGAAAUAACUUGGAUUGUUAGGUUACUUGAGGAACUCAGUCUCAUAAACCUUAGACCCAUCACACUUCAUUGUGAUAACCUGUCUGCUAUAUACAUAGCAAAGAAUCAUGUUUUUCAUGACAAAACUAAGCAUAUUGAAGUGGAUUGCCACUUCACUAGAGAUUAAGUGUUUGAAGGAUUAAUUCAACUCUCUUAUUAACCAACAACACAUCAACUAGCUGAUGUGUUAACCAAAAUCCUACCUUCCACACAGUUCAAUAAUCUUCUUAGCAAACCGGGAAUGGUAAGUCCCCAUUCCAGUUUAAGGGGGGAUGAUAAGGAUAGAUAGAUGUAGCUAAGGCUUAGAGCAUAUGAGGGGUUCUAUCCAAUAUGUGCAGCUUAAGCUCAGUGCAGAUGAGGUGUGCAAUCCUGUUUACAGCUAUAACUGCAAGCAAGUAUACUAAGUCAAAUACAGAAGAAUAACCAAAAACGUAAGAUAGAAAAUUUGCUAGUGUAUUUUUUAGAUAAAAUCAGCUAUGAUAAAUACAGUAGCAAAUUAGUAUUUUCAACAGAAGUAUACUACGAUUGAAAAAAUCGAUUGAAAAAAUAACUCAAUAGAAGAAUAACUCAUUAGUAUUGUCAACAAAAGUAUACAACAGAAGAAUAACUCAAUAGUAUAGUCAAUGGAGUCUAAAAAUCGAUUGAAAAAAUACACAAAUAAAAAAAAACAGAACCAAUCAAAGUAGAUAAAGCAUAAAAGGAUGAAUCAACUACAAAAUCCUUCAAAAAUUAACAUUAAAACUUUAUCAGCAUAAAAAUAAGAAAGAUAAUGAUAAAUAAAAAAGAAAAACAAAAAAAAAUUAAACUAGAAAAGCAAGCAAA